rnacentral:ncRNA from 1 species
UCCAACUCUAUCUGCCGCAACUAUAGCUGCAGCUCAAAUAAUCCUGUUAGUUUUAGUUAUAUAUUGGCUGCCAGAAAAGUCAGAAUCCGCUUAGCUAUGUGUAACAACUUACGUACCGAGUCGAGUGGCUCUGAAAAUGGACGACGCCAGAGCGAGAGACAGAUGCCUGAUCCGUAGAGCGAUGUGCUGCGUGAUCGCUAGCGCGGUGACGUUCCGAUGAUCGAUCGACUAGGAAAUACUGAAGCAAAGGGAAGCAUUCGCAGCUGCAGAUCUCGGCAGAAGUAGCAAAUAUUCGAAUUAGAUCUUCGAAGACCCCAGUGGAGAAUGUCUCCGCUCCAACGGUGGUCGAGCACGGGUUAAUCAUAGGAGAGAGAGAGACUAACGUGAAAACAGCCGACCUCGCAUCAAGAACGGAAUCUAUCUUUUCGGUUUCAACCUUGAGCUUGCGUCGGUCAAUGUACCUCAGGUUGGUGGGAGGGGGGAAUGCUUGAUCCUGGUCUUCUCUAAUAUAUCGGCAUAGCGUCCUCACUAUAUCUUGUUGGUGACCAUCGUAUUCUUUUGAUAUAGCUCUCCCUAUCUUUUGAUUCAGUUGCUGAAAAUGCAAUUACAUUCACACUUUGCUC